rnacentral:rRNA from 1 species
UACGUAGGGUGCAAGCGUUGUCCGGAAUUAUUGGGCGUAAAGAGCGUGUAGGCGGCCAAAUAGGUCGGUUGUGAAAACUGGAGGCUUAACCUCCAGACGUCGACCGAAACCAUCUGGCUAGAGUCCGGAAGAGGAGAGUGGAAUUCCUGGUGUAGCGGUGAAAUGCGCAGAUAUCAGGAAGAACACCCGUGGCGAAGGCGGCUCUCUGGGACGGUACUGACGCUGAGACGCGAAAGCGUGGGGAGCGAACAGG